UACGUAGGGUGCAAGCGUUGUCCGGAAUUAUUGGGCGUAAAGAGCUUGUAGGCGGUUUGUCGCGUCUGCUGUGAAAUUUCGGGGCUCAACCCCGAACUUGCAGUGGGUACGGGCAGACUAGAGUGUGGUAGGGGGAGACUGGAAUUCCUGGUGUAGCGGUGAAAUGCGCAGAUAUCAGGAGGAACACCGAUGGCGAAGGCAGGUCUCUGGGCCAUAACUGACGCUGAGAAGCGAAAAGCAUGGGGAGCGAACAGG
rnacentral:rRNA from 1 species